UACGUAGGGUGCGAGCGUUAAUCGGAUUUACUGGGCGUAAAGCGUGCGCAGGCGGCCCGUUAAGACAGGUGUGAAAUCCCUGGGCUCAACCUAGGAAUUGCGCUUGUGACUGGCGGGCUCGAGUACGGUAGAGGGGGGUGGAAUUCCUGGUGUAGCAGUGAAAUGCGUAGAGAUCAGGAGGAACACCGAUGGCGAAGGCAGCCCCCUGGGCCUGUACUGACGUUCAUGCACGAAAGCGUGGGGAGCAAACAGG
rnacentral:rRNA from 1 species